AAUGUAUUGCUUAGUAGCGGCGAGUGAGCGGCAAAGCUCAAAUUUGAAAUCUGGCUCUUUCAGAGUCCGAGUUGUAAUUUGAAGAAGGUAUCUUUGGGUCUGGCUCUUGUCUAUGUUUCUUGGAACAGAACGUCACAGAGGGUGAGAAUCCCGUGCGAUGAGAUGAUCCAGGCCUAUGUAAAGUUCCUUCGAAGAGUCGAGUUGUUUGGGAAUGCAGCUCUAAGUGGGUGGUAAAUUCCAUCUAAAGCUAAAUAUUGGCGAGAGACCGAUAGCGAACAAGUACAGUGAUGGAAAGAUGAAAAGAACUUUGAAAAGAGAGUGAAAAAGUACGUGAAAUUGUUGAAAGGGAAGGGCUUGAGAUCAGACUUGGUAUUUUGUAUGUUACUUCUUCGGGGGUGGCCUCUACAGUUUAUCGGGCCAGCAUCAGUUUGGGCGGUAGGAGAAUUGCGUUGGAAUGUGGCACGGCUUCGGUUGUGUGUUAUAGCCUUCGUCGAUACUGCCAGCCUAGACUGAGGACUGCGGGUUUAUACCUAGGAUGUUGGCAUAAUGAUCUUAAGUCGCCCGUCUGA
rnacentral:rRNA from 1 species